rnacentral:rRNA from 1 species
UACGGGGGGGGCAAGCGUUGUUCGGAAUUACUGGGCGUAAAGGGCUCGUAGGCGGCCAACUAAGUCGGACGUGAAAUCCCCAGGCUCAACCUGGGAACUGCGUCCGAUACUGGAUGGCUCGAAUCCGGGAGAGGGAUGUGGAAUUCCAGGUGUAGCGGUGAAAUGCGUAGAUAUCUGGAGGAACACCGGUGGCGAAGGCGGCAUCCUGGACCGGUAUUGACGCUGAGGCGCGAAAGCCAGGGGAGCAAACGGG